rnacentral:rRNA from 1 species
CAGUAGCCGCGGUAAUACAGAGGGUGCGAGCGUUAAUCGGAUUUACUGGGCGUAAAGCGUGCGUAGGCGGCUUUUUAAGUCGGAUGUGAAAUCCCUGAGCUUAACUUAGGAAUUGCAUUCGAUACUGGGAAGCUAGAGUAUGGGAGAGGAUGGUAGAAUUCCAGGUGUAGCGGUGAAAUGCGUAGAGAUCUGGAGGAAUACCGAUGGCGAAGGCAGCCAUCUGGCCUAAUACUGACGCUCAUGCACGAAAGCGUGGGGAGCAAACAGGAUUAGAUACCCCUGUAGUCCCUGUCUCUUAUAC